rnacentral:tRNA from 1 species
GCAGAAAAUUGUAGUGAGCUUAAAAUUCAUCCAUAAGAAUAAAAUCUUUUUUAGGCA